rnacentral:rRNA from 1 species
UACGUAGGGACCGAGCGUUGUCCGGAUUCAUUGGGCGUAAAGAGCUCGUAGGCGGCUGCUCAAGUCGAAUGUGAAAACUCGAGGCUCAACCUCGAGCCUGCAUUCGAUACUGGGCGGCUAGAGUCUGGUAGGGGGAUCUGGAAUUCCUGGUGUAGCGGUGGAAUGCGCAGAUAUCAGGAGGAACACCGGUGGCGAAGGCGGCCUGCUGGGCAGUAGCUGACGCUGAGACGCGAAAGCGUGGGGAGCAAACAGG